UAGAAAGGAAUAACAGUUGGAAACGACUGCUAAUGCCCUAUAUGCCUUUAAUACAUAAGUAUGCAAGGGAACGCUUUAGUGCUAGAGGAUGGGUCUGUAUGGUAUCAGUUAGUUGGUGAGGUAAUGGCUCACCAAGACUAUGACGCCUAACUGGUUUGAGAGGAUGAUCAGUCACACUGGAACUGAGACACGGUCCAGACUCCUACGGGAGGCAGCAGGUGGGGAAUAUUGCACAAUGGACGAAAGUCUGAUGCAGCAACGCCGCGUGGAGGAUGACACAUUUCGGUGCGUAAACUCCUUUUAUAUAGGAAGAUAAUGACGGUACUAUAUGAAUAAGCACCGGCUAACUCCGUG
rnacentral:rRNA from 1 species